GACAGAGGCCUCGAGCGUUAGGCGGAAUCACUGGGCUUAAAGCGUGUGUAGGCGGAUCGUUAAGUACCUUGUGAAAUCCCACGGCUCAACCGUGGAACGGCUGGGUAUACUGGCGGUCUUGGGCCAUUCAGGGGCGACUGGAACAAGCGGUGGAGCGGUGAAAUGCGUAGAGAUGCGGAGGAACACCGAUGGCGAAGGCAGCCCCCUGGGCUAACACUGACGCUGAGGCACGAAAGCGUGGGGAGCAAACAGG
rnacentral:rRNA from 1 species